AACUUGCUGACGAGUGCCAAGUAACACGAAACCCGGGUCCAAGGU
rnacentral:hammerhead_ribozyme from 1 species